CUUCUGCAGACACUGCCAGCCAUAUCAUAGCACAAAAUAAAAACAUUUUACGUGUUUUUUUAAGUAUAAUUGAAACGAAGAAAUAUAUAUCAAAAGCUUUUCUGUUCUUAUUUUCCGCCACGUUUAUUGUCAUCGACCAAAAUGCCUAUUUUAUUGCAUUUUGGAGAAACGCAGUGGGCGUCCGCUUUGAAAUUAUCCUGUGUUGCAUUGAUGGUAUUUCUGGCCUGUCCAGUGAAUUCCAUGGAUGUGCUGGUGCCACCACAGAUUCUCGCUCUCAAUGGGACUGUUGUCAGAAUCCCCUGUGCAUUCACUUCAUGCUACAAGCUGGAUCCCAGCAAGUUUGCCAUGAACUGGACCUAUCAGGAGACAAGCAACAGCACAGAAGAAAUGUUCAUGACCUAUAAGAACAAGAUAACACCAAAACCGAGCCGAUUUGGAGAUCGAGUCACAUUUUCUGGAAACCUGGAUAAGAACGACCUGAGCAUCACUAUCUCAGAUGUGCAGUUGACAGACGAGGGCAUCUACAACUGCUAUGUACGCAACCCUCCAGACCGCAUCCUAGGCCACGGCACCAUUCAGGUCUACGUCCGGACUGAAUUGCCGCCACCAAGAGAUUCGACCAUUGCUGUUGCCAUCGGGGCAUCUGUGGGGGGAAUUCUAGCUUUGCUUAUUCUGUCCAUGGUAGUGGUGAAGUGUAUUCGCAGACAUAAAAACCAGGAGCUGAUCUCAGAUGAGCAGAAGAUGGAGGAAGAGGGCAAAGCAGAUGGAGAAGGAGGCACAGAAGAAGCUACAAAACAGCCCUAACCCGCCAUCUUAGCCCUGGAGGCCUAACGGAUGGUGGAGCUCCAUCCUACACAUUCUGAAAUUUAAGCCUCCUGCCUGAAGAUAUAUAACACUUGUUUGACUCUUCAUCCUAUAACGGUCUCGUUCAACAUUCCUCGGAUUUUCUCGUGUAGCAGUCAAACAUGUCAUAAAGGAAGAUGUCAUAAAGGAAGACCAUGGUAUCCAGUUACCAGUGAGAAAUCACAAAGGGUUUCAAGCUGCCUCUUCCACUCAAUAUAACAGGUUAAGGUGAUAACUUCCUGCAAAACUCUUCGUUUAGACCACCCUUUUUUUCAAAGUCAAGUAAUGGAUUUUUUUUGUUCUUCAACUACUGCCACCAACUCUAUUGAUAUCAACCAUCCAGUAUUUCUGCUGAGAAUUUUCUUAAGAAAUGAAUUUUAAAUUAUACAAGGUCCUUACAACUGCCAAAGUGUUUUUACCCUUAUGGUGUUUAUACAUUUUAAGAGUUUCUUGAGAAAUCACUGCCCUCAACAACCUCUAAAGUGGAUGUAGAAAUAUAACCUGUAUAUUUGUGUGUGCCUUCUCAUUGUGCCCUGUUUGCUCCUGUUGGGUCUAGAAGCUUAUGCUGUUUUUACAGCAGACUAUUAGGCAGGAUCAUGACUAUACAUCAGUAACAAAAUCUAGAAUUCACUAGUGUACAGCACAUAGCACACCUCCAAAACAUGUACAAUCGUUGCAUGACAAUUUUUUUAUGCAUGAUACAGAUAAUUUGCACAAAAAAAAAAAGAUAAUAAUUUGCACAAGCAUCUGGCACAUUCCACAAAUAGGGUAUGUUUUGCUGUUUCGUGACAUGAGGAAUUGGUCAGAUAUCACAGAACAGCAUCAUCAUUGCAAUAGAUGAAAAGUAAAAAUAAGUGAAUUCUUAAUUUAUUUGUUAACCUUAUUAAAACAUAUUUCCCCCAUUACCAAAUAAGUAAAUAAAUAAACAAACAAAUAAAGCUAGUUUGGAUGUAAAUAAACUCUAUUUCCUCUUCAUGAACUUGUGCUUCGUCAAACAACGCUUUGGGGAACGCGCUUAGCGUGAGCGACUCUGAAUAUUGUGUGUGAUAAGUCCAAUGGAAGAGCGUGACGUCACAGGCAGGUGACGUAAACGACCAGGAAGCUAUAAAAGCACAUGCCGCGCAGCUGGCAUCAGCUUUGCGUCUUUCAGCAAGCGCUCUGUGUGUGAAUGUCACUUGUUUGUCUUGUGAGUCUUAUUCACUGUUGUCUCUCCAGUUAGAGCUCCAAAUCAUGCCGAAGAGCAAGGCGAAAUCAAAACAUAGUGAAGGCGGUUACAAAUCACUUUAUAGAUUGUGUGUUCCUCCCUGCCUGCGAUAUAUAACGGGUGGGGAUACACACAGCUUAUGCGUGGUUUGCCUGGGAGCGAAGCACGCUGAGUUGGCUCUCGAGGGGGCCGACUGUCCGCACUGUGAGCGAAUGUGGGUGCGGCUGCUUCCUUCCCAGGGGGCCCUCUUCGAGGAGGGGGCCAUCGCCAGCAUUCCCGCGGUGCUGGUCCCACUUCUGCUUGAGUUCGCAAGUGGAUAUGGUGGAGGGAAUGGAGACAGGCCAGUCCCUAUCUCAUUCCACUUCCGCCAGAUCCGGCGCCCAAUCUCUGGAGUCGGAAGCGCACUCUGCGGCCCCUUCCACCCAGGGAGAGGGAUCGACGCUCUGCUCUCUUCCUCCAAGAAGGUUGAUGUGGAAUCUGUCGACAUGGAUUCACCACCCCAUUCGCAGCAAUAUGAGGAGCUUUUGGAGGUGGUUACUCACACGGUGGCAAAAUUAAGUAUUGAGUGGCCCGCCAAAAAAACGACCGAACUGCAUCGAAGCAAGCUCGAUGAACGCUUCCUGCGUGCAAGUCAGCCACCUCCCAGCUGGGGCCUUCCAUUCUUUCCCGACCUGCAUGAUGAGACCGCCAGGUUGUGGAAACGCCCAUUUUCAGCCCGCCUCUACAUCCCCUCGUCUGACUACUGCGGCAACUUGGUGGGGAUGGGAGAGCACGUCUAUAGAGCGAUGCCCCGGGUGGAACAGACGCCUCGAGAGUUAUCUGUCCCCCAGCACGGCAUCAUCUCUGAAGGCCCCGGCAUUGCCCUCAAAGCCACUCAGAACAACAUCGGCUUUGACGGGCAAAAGGUAUGCGGCUGCAGGUCAGGCUGGUGCAUGUCUGCACACCAUGGCAGUGUUAUAGGCGUACCAAGCCGACCUGCUUAAAGAGCUAGAUGAGGGAGAGGAGAUCAAGUCCCAUGAUAAUUCAGAGCUAAGAAGGACCACUGAUCCCUCCCUCCGCGCCACCAAGGAGACUGCCCGAGCGAUUGGGCGCUCCAUGGCAGCUAUGGUGGCCGCGGAGAGGCACUUAUGGUUGACCCUGUCUGAUAUGAAAGAGCGGGACAGGGUCUGCCUCAUGGACGCCCCGAUCCAGCCGACUGGUCUGUUCGGCGACGCAGUCAAUUCUGUCGUUGACAGGUUUCAGGAGGCCCGCAAACAAGUCCCUCCCUCUUUGCUCUCUUGGGGCAUCUGUGUGGGAGAUGCCCCAGCCGCACCCUAGCUCCUCGUAUCCAGGGCCCAGAAACAGAGCAUCCCAGCCAAGGUCUUCUAAGCCUAAACAAGAUCUUAGGGCAGUCAUAGAAGUCAAGAAGUCCACAGUAGAAAAAGUCUACAGUAUUCAGUUUGGCUCUGUGCCGCCAAUAUUCAACGGGGUCAUUCCGAUGAUAGUCGGCCCCAGGCAGGGUCUGGUUAUGGAACAGGAAGUGAAAACCCUAUUAGAGAAGGAGGCCAUCGAGGUGGUCCCUCCUCAAGACAAGGAGUCCGGAUUUUACAGCUGGUAUUUCAUAGUUCCAAAGAAUGAUGGGGGGUUGCAUCCGAUUAUAGACUUGAGGGUCUUAAAUUGUUCAGUUAUAAGAUUGAAGUUCAAAAUGCUCACAAUCAAGCAUGUUGUAGCUCAGAUCAGGUCAGAGGACUGGUUUGUCACAAUGGAUCUUAAAGAUGCAUACUUCCACAUAUCCAUCCUUCCACAACACAGGACGUUUCUGAGGUUCGCUUUUGGGGGCGAAGCUUAGCAAUAUCGAGUACUUCCUUUCGGCCUUGCACUCUCACCCCGCAAGUUCACAAAAUGUGUAGACACGGCUCUGGUCCCCCUGCGCAUGCAGGGCAUCUGCAUUCUCAACAAUAUCGACGAUUGGUUGAUUUUAGCUCAGUCAGAGCAGGUUGCGGCUCAGCAUCGAGAUGUAAUUCUCGCACAUAUGGGGGAGCUGGGUUUGAGACUGAACGCCAAGAAGAGUGUACUUUCUCCGGUUCAGAGAACAACCUAUCUAGGCGUAGUAUGUCAUUCCACCGCGAUGCAGGCACGAUUGUCCCCUGCUCGUAUCGAGUCGAUCCUCAUCUCAGUUGAGAGAGUCAGAGAAGGCCAGUCACUUACUGUCCAACGUGAUACCUCUUGGCCUGCUGUACAUGAGACCCCUACAGUGAUGGCUCAAGACCAAGGGAUUUUCCCCGAGAGGCAAUCCACUUCACACUAUCAAGGUCACGCGGCACUGCCUCCGUGCCUUAGACAUGUGGAAGAAACCUUGGUUCUUGAAUCAGGGCCCGGUGCUGGGAGCUCCUUGUCGCCGUGUAAUACUAGUGACGGACGCAUCUCUCAUCGGUUGGGGUGCAGUCAUGAGUUGCCACCCUGCCCGUGGUCUGUGGAGCGGUGGCCAUCUAAUAUGGCAUAUCAAUUGUCUAGAAAUGCUAGCAGUUUAUUGUGCAUUGAAUCACUUCCUCCCAGACCUAAGGGGUCACCAUGUGUUGGUGCGCACCGAAAACACAUCAGUGGUCUCUUACAUCAACCACCAGGGAAGUCUGGGUUCGCGCCCCUUGUACAAGGCGGGGCACCAGAUCCUUGUGUGGUCCCAGAGCAAACUCCUCUCAUUAAGAGCAGUAUAUAUUCCUGGGAAACUAAAUAUGGCAGACAUACUGUCGAGACAGGGGCAUGGAGGCUUCACCCAGAGGUGGUGAAGCAGAUAUGGAGAGUGUUUGGCAGGGCUCAAGUAGACCUUUUUGCGACUCAAGAUUACAAUGUCCCCUUUGGUUCUCUCUAGUUCAUCCAGCUCCUCUGGGACUGGAUGCUAUGGUACAGACCUGGCCGAGGCUUCGUCUGUACGCCUUUCCCCCUAUUGCUCUGCUCCUGGGAGUUCUCACGAGAGUACGACCGGGACGGGGUCCGUCUGUUAUUAGUAGCCCCGUUCUGGCUGGGCUGAGUAUAGUUCGCAGACCUGGUCUCGCUCCUCGAAGGCUCUCCAUGGGAGAUACUGAUCAGGACAGACCUACUCUCACACACGCAGGGCAUGAUAAUUCUCCCUCGCCCGGAGUUCUGGAAGCUGUGGGUCUGGCCCCAAGGACGCACAACUAUUAGCAGCUGGUCUCUCAACCGAGGUUGUUGAGACCCUCCACCAAUCCAGAGCUCCCUCAACGAGGAAUCUGUGCCCUGAGGUGGAAACUCUUCACCUCAUGGUGCAGAGACCGACAGCUAGACCCAGCAAACUGCCCAGUUGGUACAGUUCUGGAGUUUCUACAGGCCAGGCUCUCUGCAGGGUUGAUCCACUCCAUGGUGAAGGUUUACGUGGCGGCCAUUGUGGCCUACCAUGCCCUUCUCAAUGGCCAGUCUUUGGGAAGACACCCCCUAGAUAUGCGUUUCCUCUGCGGUGGGCUGAGGCUGAGACCUCCAGUACGGUCCUGUAUUCCCCCGUGGGACUUGGUUGUGGUGUUAGAAGCAAUGUGCAAACCCCGGUUUGAACCCAUUCAAGAUAUUUCAGACAUACAUCUUACGCUUAAAACUGCCUUUCUGUUGGCUAUCAACCCUCUGCGGAGAGAAGGAGAUCUUCAGGCCCUCUCUGUGGCCCCCACUUAUCUUGAGUUUGCACCUGGCAUGACCAAACCAUUCAUAUACCUUUGAGCAGGAUAUGUUCCUAAGGUUCCCUCUGUUACACCACGACCUGUAGUGCUGCAGGCCUUCUGUCCUCCUCCCUUUCAGGAGCCCGACCAAGCGAAGCUAAAUUGUAUGUGUCCAGUUCGAGCGCUGUGUACGCAUACGUCCACAGAGCUGCCCUGUGGAGAAAAACUGAUCAAUUGCUUGUAUGCUACGGUCCCCUCAAGAGGGGUUCUCCUGCUUCUAAGCAGACUAUUAGUCAUUGGAUAGUCGAGGCUAUCAACGCCACCUAUGAGUCCUCUGAUCGUCCCCUGCUGUCGGGAGCCAAGGCUCACUCUACUCGGGGUAUAGCGGCCUCCAAGGCCUUCCUAGCAGGUUUAUCCAUGCUGGACAUAUGCAAUGCUGCGGAGUGGUCCACACCUUCUACGUUUGUUAAAUUAUAUGGCCUAGACAUGCCAGUCACUCCAGGCGCUUCUGUCCUCUCGUCCUAAGCUGUGCUCUUCGGAUACACACUAGGCAGGGGUUUGGUAGUCUGGCGGCAUUGGUACUUGUUCCCCAAAGCGUUGUUUGACGCAGUGUCUCGUUCCCUCGAGGAACUAGGGUUACAUACGUAACCUAUAGAUGUUUCCCAAUUAUGAAUAAACAAAAGAUCAAAUAAGUAUCAGCUAUUUUAUAGCCUAUUUAUGGAAAAUGCCAAAACAUUGCUUUCACACAUAAACAUCAUAAUUUUUCAGGUGCAAUGAUUAGUUAAACAUGAUCUAUUUAUAGAUAAAAGAAAAAAAAAAAAAGAAAAAAAAUAUAUGUAUACAGAAAUCAGAUUGUUAAUAUUAUCAAUUAUGUUUGAUAUGUACAGGAUGUUGUGGUGUGUUAUUGGGAAUAUAUUUGGGAAUAUAUUUGAAUUUAUUUUACAUGAGUAUCUUAUUGAACGUAUAAGCUGUGAAAUUAAUUGACUGAAUUUAUUAACCUCAUAAUCAAAUUUCCCACAUAAUCAUAUAAUCUGUCCUGAAAGAGGCUAAAAUGGUUUUAAAUUGAGUAACAAGCCAAUGAAAGAUACUGGAUUAAUGAAUGUGCAUUUAAUAAAAAAGAUUAACAGAUAAUCAAGUAUGUAUGACAUCAUAUUAUAUUUGUAUGUAUACAAAGGAAAUACUGUAAGAAACUUUGAUUUCAAGUAAAUGGGGAGAAAAAAAGAAACAAAACAAGUUUCUUUUUUUUUUUUCUUCAUGUGAUGGGAAUCCAUUUUGAACACAGUGAUUGUGAACUUUCAGUGCACUCGUAGUAAUAGACUCCAUACUGUGUAGUAGAUAAUGUAGGGAAGGGGCAGGUCCCUCACAUACCAUCUGCUAAAUUGAACAAUUUUAAAAGAAUAGCCUCAGCUAAAUUAUUACAGCAUAUUUUGUGUUAUGGUCAGGAAACAUGAGUAUUAAAUAGUUCUAAAUAGUUUGAUUUAAA